CGAGGGCACAGAGCACUGCAGAGCCGCGAUGACCCACGCAUUCGUGCUGCAAGAUGACGUAAUGGGGUCGGUCAUGCCGGGUCGGUCCAUCUCUUCUCGGGCCAGAACGCCGCACACCGACUCCUCACGACUUCCGGACGCGGUCGCCCCGCUCCGUCCGGUCUCCGGGGCCGGCCUCGCGCGGGGAGAGCCCGGGUUUCGAUACGGGACGGUCGGCGGGCAGCGGCCCCUCGCCCUCAGGACGCCCCGCUUCACCUCCCGCCCGCAGGGCCCGGGACCGGCCGCGGGGAGCCCGGGCGGAGCUCGCUCGGGUCCCGGGGCCGGGCCGAGCCUUGGCCGGCGGCAGGGCGCUUCGCUCGGGGCCUCCAGCGGCAGAAGCACCGCCGAGGUCCGCGGCCUGGGAGGCGCCUGGCCGCGGGAGGGUUCGAAGCUGCGAGCGACCGGCCGCCGGGGCCGCCCCUGUCCCGCCGCCGGCCGCGGGCGGAGGCUCGGCUGGCGCCGGCGUCGGUUAACCGGAGGGUCCGGCGGCGCGCUCUGGGCGGGGCUGCCUGCUCCCGGCCCGGCUCCCGGAGGACGCGAGCGCAGCGGCGGGCGGCGAGGCCUCGCCGGCCCCUCCGCACAGCCCCGCAGCCGGCCGAGAAAGCCCCGCGCGCUCCGCACCCGCCGGAGGCCCGGGACCGCCCCGCGGCCGCAGCCGCCCGGAAGUGAGGCCAGAUCCCCGGGACUACAGCUCCCAGAGACCCGCUCCCUCGCCCAAGCGGAUUGGCUCGCUGCGCCGUCCAUCAGCCACCAGCCGCGGGAAGACGGCUGCGACGGCGCUCCGCGACCAAUCACGAGAGCGAGGAGGCGGGCGCUCCCCCGGCCGAUCGGCCGCCUGUAGAGCAGGCGUGGCGGGACGCCAAAGGACUGGGUUCUUCGGGGCGGUCGGAGAGGUGACAGGCCGGCCCUGAGAAAUGGUGACCUGGGACAGAAGCGCCCUUUUGCCCAGAAGACGCUGGUCUCCGCGGGGCCGGCCCCGCCGGGUUUCGCCUCGCCCCCAUCGCUCAUUGGCUCCCCCGGGACACGUGGGGGGAGGAGGCGUGGACACAGCGGCGUGGGCCGGCGGCCGGCGCCGGGGGCAGGAGAGGCCCGCGGACUCGGGCGUGGGGCCGCAUGGACACGCUGGUGCUGGGCCGGUGGCGACGGCGGAGGGCGGAGGAGCUUCAGGUUCCGGGGGACGCGGUGACGAGGUCGGCCCGCCUUCCUCCUAGACCUUCUUCCCGCUCUUCCGUGGCCAGUUUCCUGCCUCUCACAUCAGCUAGACGUGGGCGUUCUACCUUCGGCUGGAGCCGUGAAGACGGUGUGCCUGAGGAGGGUCUGAGAAGUGAGCAGAUCCGGAACAGAGACGGGGUCAGGCAUUCGGGGCGAGGGGGCAGCACGGCCGCGGGGAAAGCGCCGGCGCCGAAGGGAUCUCCGUGGAGAGGCUCAUUUGGGUGGCUUGGGGAGCUCCAAGGAGAAGCUCCAAGUGGCUCCAAGGCUUCAGCCCGAGACCCACCAGCCCAGAGACACAUAGGGCCAAGACUUAGAGAAAACAGAGAGUAAAUGGAUCACAGGAUCACUUCUGAAAAAAUAAGCUGAAGAAAACACAUGUCCACUUAUAAACUCUCCUAAAAAUGCAAAUGCAAUCCAAGUAGCAGAGUUUUUGUCUUCUAAUAUAUUUCCUUGGUCGUUAACGUAGUUGGUCCAGACUGUCCUGAGAGGCUAGCACGUGCAGAACGAACUUCCCAUCCACCUGGCAACUAAGCAGCAUCUGGCUUAGCACAAACCCUGGUCCAGCCCGGAGACCCAGGCCGUGCUCUGUCUCAUGUCUUCCUCCCCCAACCCCUCCCCGAUGCCCACAACACUGCUGGUGUGUGUGUGUGUGUGCACGCAUGUGUGUGUCUGUGUGUGAGUGUGCACUGGCACAAAUCUGGCUCGUGAUUUCAAGAUGAAGAAUUCCCGCAGCCCGUGCACUAUUGACGGACACUGGGUUGCUCUUCAACUUUGCCUACAGCAAACAUGCUAAAACUCAUAGGUUAGAGUAUGCAAAUCUGAUCUAGAUAGUUUACUAUCAAAUUGGCAAGAAUUUUUAAAAAGUGCAAUUCUUAGUGCUGGUGAAAUGUAGAAAAGGCAUCGGUCACUCUCGGUCGCCGGGAACGGUGUCGCAGUCAUUUUGGAUGGCAGUUUGGCAACAUCUGUUAACGUGUAAAAUGCUUUUGGUCUUUGGUUAAUUCUGGCUUUCUUGGGAAGUGAGUCUGUGCAUAGAUUUGUGCCCAAAGGUGCCUUGUGAGCCCGGCUCCCCAGACCUCCUGAAAGGACCUUCCGAGCCCAGACUCCGCAUGUGGAAACUGGCGCCCCAAGAGGUUUCAGUGCGCGGCGCCGUGUGUGCUCAGGGAUACGGUGGGAGUUUGCCGCUCUGCACUCUGUGUCCAACACGGCUUCUCCGGGGCAAGAUGUCGGCUCAGGAACGCCGUCUCCUUCCAAGUGACACCACUGUCGCAGACUGCCCUUCAGGGGUCGGAAGGAGGUGAUGCCAUUCGGGACCUCAGGGGUCUGGGGAUGGCUGUGGGGUCCUGAUCAAGGCCCAGCAUCCCUCUCAUGUUGGCUUCUGCCCAAGACUGGUCCUCUGAGCAAGGGGGCCCAUGUGGUUCCCCAGAGCCCUCCCAGCCCGCAGUGUCCCCCAAACACUGUGCCUCCUGCCCCACCACAGCGGCCUCUGCAUUCUGUUCCAUUGAGUAAAGCACUGACCAUCGUGGUCUCGCGGGGUGGGGUGGGGCAGGGGAGACUCACCGAAGGCUUUUACUGCUGUCUUACCUCUCAUUGGAAGAUGAAUUACGAGAACUGGACACCACUACCCAGUGUCUGUAAACCAAAUGACCCGCGGCCCCAGCGGCUUUGCCGAAGGACACGGCCUUCGCCUCGGAGAGAGCCACGUGCUCACGUGUGCCUUGCAUGGCAGGCAAGCAGAUGUUGGGACGCAGUUACCAGAGCGCUGUGGGCUGCUUGGCAAGCUGCUGGCUGGCACAGGGGCAUCUCUAGCCCAGGAGGGAGUAAGGUCUGGGGCCCCUGACCCCAGGCCUGCUAGUGCCGCUGGUAGCCCAAUUUCCCAGCAUUCCCCUCCAGAGCUGGCACCCAGGGUUGGACUGCUCCAACCCCAGCUCCUGGCAUCCCCACGGGUACAUCUGCUCUCAGGCUCAUCCCAGGAGAAGGGAGAGGGGCAGAGGACGGGGGUUCCUUCCAGGAGCACCCUCACAGCCCGCUGCCGGCUGCGGAGCCAGCAUGCCCAGGCAGCCUGCUUCCUUACCCCAGACCCCGUGCCCCGAGACUGUGCACUUUGCCACGUCUGUCACUGGAUCAUGCCAUGGGGACUACUAGUAGUUCAUGGACCUCCAAAGUGCCUGUCCCCAAACAAAAGAGCGUAUGAGAAGCCCAGAGGUUUCCUAGAGGUCGAGAGGCAUCCUAUCAUCUGCGGUUUAUGAGUGAGAAAACCGGCCCAGGUUGUAAGCUGACUUGAGGGCUCAGCCAGAUGGGACAGAGCAGCACCGGGUAGGGCUUCCGUCUCCAUUCCUGGCUGCCAGGGGACAAACUCUCCCAGUCUGUCUGUGAUGGAGGGUCUCCGGGGACAUGUGGUUUUCGGUGCUAACCUGGGGACAUUCCAGGCACCCUGGAAGCAGUUACUCACUGUGCCCAGCCUCUCCCAGGGUGCUCCUGGGUCCUCUGUCCCAGCUGGGACACUGCCUCCAAGCUCAGAGCCCCGUGGUUCAUGAGUUCCUUCUGGGUGACCGUACCUGCCUCCUCCACCCCCACCCCCAUCCCAUCAAGGCCGGUCUCGGGAGAGUGCACACAGCGGGUGCUCAGCGGUUGUGUUUCCUGGAGCACUGAGUGGGCAGUGGGCAGGACCUGCAGAGGAGAGCCAGGAGGCAGCCUAGUGCCAACCUCGUGAGCUGGGCAGUCCGAGGCCAGGGGGAGGGUGGAGGUGGGGAAGGACUAGGGCUGCUGCUGGGCCCCCUCCAGGCCGUGGACCCUGCCCAUACCUCCCCACUGCACUGGCUGGUCUUUGCAUCCUAUCAUUUAAAUUGGCCAAAUACUAAUUAAGAAAUAAUCCCCCCAAAUCAUUUUCCUCCCAGGCUACAUGCCUGCAUCUGGAGGCAAAGUCUGGAGGAAAUGUUAACACGGGUAAUGAGAACCUUGACUGUGACUCAAAGGAUGGCCCUGCCAGGGCAGAAGCCUGGGCAGGAGCUGGCAGCCAGCCGGUGGACGCUCCUGGCUGACUUAGAACAGAAGCAGGGGCCUGUGGCAAAAGUCGAGGGGCCAGGGGUCUUUCCUAGACCUGUGACUCUCUAGUGGAAUGCAUUUCUCUCCCUGGGGCGGCAUGCGACUGAGCAUUUACCCCCAGUCAACGAAUGAGAAGUUCUGAGCCAGGAACCCAAGUCUGUGCGGGCCCUCCACCCGGGGCGCUCCCCCAGCCUCCGGGCCCGGACACCUGGGGACCCACGCCGUCCCGCUCUGCCCAUACCUGCUGGAAGUCGGGCCACAUGUUCCUCCCUGUCACCAAAGAAUUAAAGACAACAUCUUGGGUAGGAAGCUAUUGUGGAGGGUGGAAGUUUCUGGCCAGGCAAAUAAAUUGGAUUUAAGUAUAUUACAGUCAUAAUCUUUU